rnacentral:rRNA from 1 species
AGGACGAACGCUGGCGGCGUGCUUAACACAUGCAAGUCGAGCGGAAAGGCCCUUCGGGGUACUCGAGCGGCGAACGGGUGAGUAACACGUGGGCAACCUGCCCCUAGCUCUGGGAUAACUCCGGGAAACCGGUGCUAAUACCGGAUAUGACCUCAUUAGGCAUCCUUUGAGGUGGAAAGAUUUAUCGGCUAGGGAUGGGCCCGCGGCCUAUCAGCUUGUUGGUGGGGUAAUGGCCUACCAAGGCGACGACGGGUA